UACGUAGGGUGCAAGCGUUGUCCGGAAUUAUUGGGCGUAAAGAGCUCGUAGGCGGUUUGUCGCGUCGAAUGUGAAAACCCGGGGCUCAACUCCGGGCCUGCAUUCGAUACGGGCAGACUAGAGUUCGGUAGGGGAGACUGGAAUUCCUGGUGUAGCGGUGAAAUGCGCAGAUAUCAGGAGGAACACCGGUGGCGAAGGCGGGUCUCGUGGGCCGUAACUGACGCUGAGGAGCGAAAGCGUGGGGAGCGAACAGG
rnacentral:rRNA from 1 species